rnacentral:rRNA from 1 species
GAUGAACGCUGGCGGCGUGCUUAACACAUGCAAGUCGAACGGGAUCCAUCAAGCUUGCUUGGUGGUGAGAGUGGCGAACGGGUGAGUAAUGCGUGACCGACCUGCCCCAUACACCGGAAUAGCUCCUGGAAACGGGUGGUAAUGCCGGAUGCUCCGGCCUGCCGCAUGGUGGGCUGGGAAAGAUUGUAUCGGUAUGGGAUGGGGUCGCGUCCUAGCAGGGAGUCGGCGGGGUAACGGCCCACCGAGCCUACGACGGGUAGCCGGCCUGAGAGGGCGACCGGCUACAUUGGGACUGAGAUACGGCCCAGACUCCUACGGGAGGCAGCAGUGGGGAAUAUUGCACAAUGGGCGCAAGCCUGAUGCAGCGACGCCGCGUGCGGGAUGACGGCCUUCGGGUUGUAAACCGCUUUUGAUCAGGAGCAAGCCUUCGGGUGAGUGUACCUUUCGAAUAGGCACCGGCUAACUACGUGCCAGCAGCCGCCGUAAGAC